rnacentral:miRNA from 1 species
GGGAAUAGCCAAUAGCCAAUCAGCAGCAGACCCUCCCUCCCAGACCCUCCCACCUCCUGCACAGCUCACUAAGAAUGCAGCUUCACAAUGAAUGUAAAAUGGAUGCUGUCCAGCAGUUGUGAGGGUAUGGGAGGGAGGGUCUGCUGCUGAUUGGCUGGAAUGUGUCUG